AUUGAACGCUGGCGGAAGGCCUAACACAUGAAAGUCGAGCGGAGCGGCGGACGGGUGAGUAAUACCUAGGAAUCUGCAUGGGAGUGGGGGAUAACGUUCGGAAACGGACGCUAAUACCGCAUAAUAUAAGAUGAGCCUAGGUCGGAUUAGCUAGUUGGUGAGGUAAUGGCUCACCAAGGCUACGAUCCGUAACUUGUCUGAGAGGAUGAUCAGUCAACCUGCACAUGAGACACGGUCCAGACUCCUACGGUCGGCAGCAGUGGGUAAUAUUGGACAAUGGGCGAAAGCCUGAGCCAGCCAUGCCUCGUGUGUGAAGAAGGUCUUCGGAUUGUAAAGCACUUUAAGUUGGGAGGCGUUACCGACAGAAUAAGCACCGGCUAACUCUGUGACAGCAGCCGCGGUAAUAC
rnacentral:rRNA from 1 species